CUACAAACUCUGCCGAAUCCUAGAUCCCAAAGACUUUUUCCCUCUUUUUCUUCUGGGUUUUCAUCUGGGGCUCACUUUGAGUUCAUUUUUGUGGAAGGCAGGAGGCUUGAGUCGAGGGUGGCUUUCUCGGUGUUCCAACGCCAUUUAUUGAAAUGAUGAUGUUUUCUUCAUUAACUUGCUUUCGGAUUGGUGUCCAGUGUCACAAGAUUUCCUUUUGGGGGAACGGUUUAAACUACGUCGCUGACCUUAGAAGUCUGGGGACUGAUCAGAUCACUGCAUAGUAACGUGUUGCAGUCGUCCGUGGUUUUCACGGAAUUGCUUUAUUUAACCUGUUGAAUUUCUGUGCCUGAGGGUCUCAGGAUUCCUGCUGGAGUAUCUUCAGGGAGCUGUCGUGAUCAGCCACGUCCUUCCCAACAUGAGCCAUCUGUCUUUUUCCUUUGGCUAACCCUCUAGCAAGACUGGCCAUUCUUUUGGUAUCUUCGAGGAACUAGCUUUUGAUAGGAUUUUUGUCCAAAAUCAAAAAUCUUGGACUCCCCUGCUUUCUGCUGUUUCCUGUUUUUAUUUUAGUCACUGUCCCUCUGCUGCUGAUGGGUACGUGUUCUAGAAAUGGGAGUCAAGCUCAGUUGCUUCAAAGGUGUUCAGGUCUGUAGCAUUUUGGUGAAAAGACGGCUUACAGUUGCAUGUAAUCUGAUCGAUGCAUUUUACUUUACAGUCCGCAGUUGGGGUCUUAGGUAGCAAGAUUUCACCUGUCCCUGGUAGUAGUAGUUACUAUUUUAUCUUUUACGUGGACAGUCUACCGGGGGCUGUUUUGUAUGGCAUUUUAUUGAGGGAUUUCUGGAUGGUAGUAAAGACUAAGAGUACCUUUUGAUGCUGUUACUGCAAGUAUCGGUCAACCCCGGUUCUUUUUGAUGAUUUAAGGGGCAACAUGGUGCUGGGAGGGGCCCCUGAAUCUGACCCCGGUGAGCCCCAGGCUGUGGGGGUGGCCAGAGUCGGCCUGCCCUGCUCAGGAGUUAGCAGGGCUGGGCAGCUGCUGGGUGGCCAUCACCCCUGCCUGAAUGCCUUCCUCUCUAGGCCGCGCCCUCGAUCAUCUUUGCGGUGGGAUGGCACCUGUGCGUCUCCCCAUUUAGCUCUGGUGUCACUAGUGGGGGUCACGGCAGGGUUGGGGGAGGAUAGUGACCCCAGGCCAUGCAUCUUCCUUCUGAGGAAUCUGAACCUUGCCUGGGAGCUGCAGGGGUCCACUCUGACCUCCCUCCCCUGCUCUGGCCCAGGCGUCACCACCCCAGGCAGCCGGUUACUUUUCUCUAUUUGGGCAGGCUCUGGUACCCAGCUCUUUGACCAAGCACCAGUCUAGCUGUUCCCGUGAGAUUUUUUAGGGGUGCUCCACAUGACAGUUCGUCGGCUCUGGAUCACGGUGGUGGCCUCCAGAACGUGGUGACUCUCCUCUAACCAGUUGAAGGCUUAGGAGAAAGGCUGGGAUGUCGGAGAAGGAAGGAGCCCUGCGGGCGCGCUCCGGAGCUGCAGCCCUUACAGUCAGGUGAGCCGGCCUCUUCGGCAGGUCUGUGUCCCGCCCUCUCCCUGAUACCCGGCGGCCGGGCUGCUGGGGACAGCUGUGGCUCCUUUCACAGGCUCUGCUCCUCCGUGGCCGCUGCUUCCUGCCUGGCUCCCGCCCUCCCCAAUCCACCGUCUUUAGCAAAGGUCCUGGGGCUCGUCCUCAGGCAGCUGGGAGAUGCUCCGGGUCCCGGGGCUGGAGUCACCUCAGCUGCAGGCAGAGGCGCACAGGUCACUCUGGGCGUCUAACAGAGAGCUUGGACCUGCGGUCGGCCUGGGCGGAGGCCAGGACAGGUGUGCUCAGGUGGGGGACAGCCGUGGGCCUCAGUUCCUGUCUUUUCCAGAAGGAACUACUAGGCGACUUGCUCCCUGUCGUGAGGUGAGUGGGCGUCCGAGACACACCGGCCCACUGCCUGUGGGGGCACACGGAGCCCAGACUCGCCCACCGUGGCGCAGCCCCCCACCCUUGCUGUCUCUGCCGUGUGUGCUUGGAGCUGCCCACCUGGGGACAAGGGGCCAGGAGGCCACGUCCCCUCCUGCCAUCGGUGGUCCUCACGGGGGAGGUCCCUCUUCUCUGGUUCCCUCAGUAUUCUGUCACCCUCCCCCUCGGGCCCCCCGAGUGCGCAGGCAGACAGGGGCAGGGACAGGUGCUGGCCCCAGCAGGCCCGUCCUCAUGGCCACGCACCGAGAGCGCCCAGGUUCUCCGUCUGGAAGACCUUCUGCAGGGGCGGGAUGUAGAUCACGGCCAGCUGCCCCAGAACGGACCCCAGCACCGAGUACAGGAACAUGCGGUUCCGGAGAAAACCGAUCUCAGCUAUCAGCUUGGUCUGCAGGAGGGGGAGGACACAUCAGCGCUUCCCACUGAGAACAGCCCACUGAGAACAGCCCAGCUCGGGGCUCACCUGAGAGCGGCAGGUCAAGGCGUUGAAGAGGUCGAAGAACACAAAGCAGGUGAAGGUCAUGGUGGUGGCACGUGGGGUGCCGGCCUUGUCUGCGGGGAUCUGGAACACAGGCACGGGAAGAGGGGGUCCAGGAAGGCCGUGUACUUCCCACAGUGAAGUCGACCUUCACCAAGAGCCAGAGGCUGCAGCAGCUCCAGGGUGGGCCCGAACCACCCCCCCCAGCAGCCGUGAGCAGCUUCCUUGGGAACUGACCAGGACCUCCCCCUUGGGCUGGAGGCAGCUGCUGUUACAGGGGACACGUGGCUCAGACCCGCCCCCCCCGCCACGCCAGCCCCGGCCACUGGAGGGGCUGACAGCCCGUCCUCAGGAACCUGGGCUGCUGCCCACACCCGAGCUGAAACCUUGCACAGAUAAAGGGAAUGCUCCUUCCUCAGCGGGUGACCCUGCAGCAUGGAGGUGACGUUGCUACAGCCACACCCACGGAGCAGAAGGUCCCAGAGGAAGGCAGGGGAUGGAGACCGUCCCGGCUCUGGUGUGGCUGCUCGGACGUGAGGCAGAGCUCCCUCCCCUCCACACCUCCGGGCCGGGCCUGGAGCCGCAGGUGAGAGGGACUCAUGGUGGCGCCUGAACUUCCCCCUGCCCAGGGGAGGGGGCGAUGAGCCCGUGCUGCUUGGGCUUUGCACAGAGUCCUGGUCCAGCAAAUGACCCUCUGGGGGCCAGGGGGCGGGGGCGGGUGUGGCGAGUUAGAGCCUGACUCCGCAGUCCUGGUGGGCACCCAGGAGUCUGUGUCUCUGGAGUGGUGGAGGCUGCUGUUGGGGACCCUGUGCUCAGGAUCACUGAGUGAGUCCGGGAGGGCCUGGGUCCUCUUCCCCGCCAGGGGGUGCACACAGGCUGCAUGAGGUAGAGAAUCCCCACCUUCCCUGGCAGGUGAGAAUUUGGGGAAAAACAAAGCUGUUCCUCUGGGGGCGAGGCUCAGAAAAACUGAGACUCUGUGGGGACCCAGUGUCCCACGCCCCUUGGUGCAUGUGGCACCUUCCUGGUUCCCCAGUCAGAGCACUGCACCAAAAGGGGACCGGUAAGUUCCCACAAGUGAUCGUCUCCAGGGAGCAAACAUCCAGUCCUUCCUUCCUAGGAAAUGUCACAUUGUUUCCAGGACGGAACACCACCUCAGGUCCCAUUCAGAAUAAACUCCCAUUUCUGGCCAUGCCCGGGCGGCCUCCUGUCCCUCCGCCUGCCCCCCACCCCCCAAAGUGGGGUCCUGAUCCCCUGCCUUCCCUCCAGGACGGCCCCUGUACGCAUACGCGUGUCUCCCCUGUCGGAGGCUGAGCCCCACGGCCAGGCAGGGACCGUCCACAGCCACGGCCCGAGUCUCCCCCAUCUGCGGCUUAGCCAGUAGUGGCUUAGUGAGUCCAUGAGGACCGGCCUCACCUCUUUCCAGAAGAUAAAGAGUGUCCCGCUGAUGAUGACGGCCGCCGACAGCAGGGUCUUGAGGAUGAGGGCUCCACUGAGGACGGUGUCCUUGAUGUCCCGCGGCGGCUGCUGGAGGGUGUCUCUGUCCACGGGCUCUACCCCCAAGCUGCUCGGAACACGACACGGGCGCCCGGACGUAAGCCACUGAGAAGGGGACACUUCAGCCAGCCAGGCAGAGGCCGAACAAGCACAUCGGAGGCGGAGCCCGAACCUUCCAGGCCCUCUGGCCAGCUCCUCAGGCACCAGCGGCUGAGAGGUCGGGGCUCGGGGGGCCCAGCCCCUCCAGGCCGUCCACCCAAGCCCAGGCCAGUCCCGCGCUCACAGGGACUUCUCCGUUAGCCUCCCUUCACGUGCUCUGUCCCUUCCCCAACAGCCAGCCCCUUCCACGGUGACCCCGCCCCCAGCCUGGGCCCCACGGGCAGCCCUUCCCUUCACCAUCCCUGAGCACCGUGAAGGAAGACCCCCCCCCCCCAGAACCAGCCACACCACGGUCCUGGAACCACCCCAGGUCCCCUCUCGUGCUCAGGUAACGUCCCUCACAAGGGGACGCCCCAGUGGGCUGGAGAAAUGGGCUCCAGGCCCUGCCCACCGCAGAGCCCCCAGUGACGGAAGGACCCCUGCCUCCCGGGGACUGUGCAACAGCGGUAUUGGGGCUAGACCAGCAGGAGGCAGUGCGGGGGGGCACUGAGGAGUAAGUGGGCUGGGGGCCCCCCUCACUGCUGGCCCCAGGGGGACUGAGUAGGGCUGUUGCCCCAAGCAGCUGUCACCGGUGACGCUGAGUGAACGUGGGUAAUGGAGCGCGUGUCAGAUGCAGUCCGAUGGAACGACACGCUGUGUGCAGAGGUGGUCCUUCUGCCCCUUUCAGCCCGCCUAACGCUCCCUUCUCAGCCAGCCAGCAACUCGCUGACCAGCUGCUGUGUGCCAAGUCGUUCUAGGAGCCGGGGAGACUGACGGAACAACAUCACAAACCUUGUCCAAGGGGAGCUGCAUCAGAAUCAGAUAAGCAAGGCCAAGGACAUACAUGUAUAUUUUCUCCUCCGGGGAAAAACAAAGCAGGGUACGGUGAUUGAGAGCCUGGAGGCUGCUGUUAGGGUAAUCAGGGAGGACUUCUUGGAGGUGGUGACCUCACGAGAGGCACAGAGCCUUGGAGCUGCGCAGGAGCAUCCCUCACGGACCCUGGCUGCCCAGACAGGUGCUUCCUCCCCUGCACCGCAGUCAGCUUCUCUGGGACUCCUGGGGACAGUGACUGCACCCACACUCCGGGGUACAGUUCUGGCCUCCCGCCUGGUGCCUCACCUCUGUGCCGGUGGCCCGUCCAUGAUGAUGUUGAUCCACAGGAUCUGCAUGGCAUUAAGGGGGCUGGGUAGGUUGCACACGGUGGACAGAGUGAUGAGGCUCAAGGCCGAGAUGCUCCUGCGGGGACACACGCGGGCCAGUCGAUGGUGGCUCGCCAGAUGUGUGCGCAGCACCUGCCGCCACUGGGAGCUGCGGGCCUUGACUUACGUGCUCAGCUGGAACCGGACGAAGUUUUUGAUGUUGUGAAAAAUCCCUUUGCCUUCCUCCACUGCACUCCUGCGAGAGAGAGAGCAUUUAUUCACGAUGGUGUCAGCGGGGAUGGCCUCAUGCUCGGGUGCCCCUUCCUGUUUCGCUGCUCGAGGCCAUGCCCGCGGAGGACGACGAUGUCCUGUUGGCACCAGCAGGCGCUGGGGACUGGACCGUGAGCCGCAAUCCCCCUUCUGUCCCCAAACCGGCUUACUCUCCCGCCCACCUGGAGCCUGGGAUUCCUGAAGCAACAAACCCACCUCGGGGAGUCCAACAAGAGGCACAGCAAAACCAACCAAACCCAGACCUGCUCCUGAGCUGCUGGGGCGUGGCCGGGGGGAGAAUUGGGAAGCUGAAAAGUCAUCUAGAAAACUCUGCAGAAGUCCUUUAAAAAAACGAUCUCGAGGCAUGAAAGCAGAGAACUGCCCAAUCUUUUUUUCUACUAAAGUUUUUUGCAAAAGUAAAAAUGACAGCUUUGCUUACUAACUGCAUCUUGUGACCCCCCCCCCCCCCCACCACCACGGGGCAAGGACACUGAGGGCUGCUGCGGAGAAUCCGUUUGUAAAGAAAAGAUCCUUCUGCAAAGUCCGAAAUCACAGCCAACUUCAGUCUUUGUUCAGAUCCGUGGUAUUUUCUCCCGCCCCCAGUGACUUCAGUUCACUUAGAAGGAAAGACUUCAUUAGAACGAAUCAAAAUUAGAUCUAGAGGGCAGGCAACUGUUUUUAAGGAAACAAAAAAAGGUGAAGAAAACAGGUGCUCGGCCAUCUGGCAGCUGGAGCUUCCGCGCGCCUGAGGCAUCCGUGUGCACACGAGCGCGACCCCAGACUCAAACCCCGCGUUGAGCUCUACGGGGUGAGCACCUCCGGGCCUGGCCUCCGCGCGCUCCCGCUCUCGCUGUUGGCAGCCAGGGUGGUCUAGGAUUUCCCCCAGACGGUGCGGCAGCGACCGCACGGGCACGCGCCUCUGUCUGCGAGCGCCCGGUCCUGGCUCUCCCUCCGCUGCACCCUCGGGCUACAAAAGGGUUCGCUGGCCUGUGUCUGCAGCACCCCCGGCCCCGGGUGCUAUGUGAGCCGGGACACCCGUCUCCCCGGCACGACGGAGCCCCGGGGUGGGCAGCUGGUUACGCCAUGCGCUUCUGCCCCUAAAAACCCCACCUGCGGACAACUCACAUGAUGGCUGAGAAGUCAUCGUUCACCAGGACCAUGUUGGCGGCCUCUUUGCUAACGUCUGUCCCCGUCUGCCCCAUGGCGAUCCCGAUGUCCGCAGACUUGAGGGCGACAGCGUCAUUCACCCCGUCCCCUGUCAUGGCCACGAUCGCCCCACAUUCCUGCAAAGCCUUUGGAAAAAAGAGGUGAGUGGAGGCUGCAGCCCUUCCAGAACCUUCCUUCCCUUUGGAUGCUCUGCCUCUCCCUCUGCAUGGCCAACAGCAGAGGCCCCCUCUGGAGUCAGCUGGGCGGACUCUGAGUCCCAGCCGCGCCGGCACCCCGGGGAGCUGGCACUGUGGGAGCUCGGCAGGCCCCGAACCUCUCAGACUCAGCUUCUCCAUCUGCAGAGUGGGGACAGCCGUCCCUCCUCUGUGAGAGCCACACUGCGACGGCUGGUGUCGGGCUCCCUCUCCACUAACAAAGACGGGUCCACCGCUUUCCCCUGAAACCACGUGGCAGCCAGUAAGUCUUCAUGUUUGCUCUUAGGAGUACCACGCGUGCAGACUUGCUCCCUAGAACUACACCCGCCCCCACACCCCCCAUCAAGAGCAUCAAACAGCCCAGGCCACAGAGCACAUCUUCGGAUGCGCACAUGCGGGAGGCCAGGGCUGCAGCGGGGGCCCCCUCCCCGCGCGGGCAGGAGACCGUGUCCGCUCUGCUGGGCACCCGCUGCGGGCCGGGCACUGUGCUGGGCGCUCCACGGCCUGGCCCCUCUGUUCCUCUCACCGGCCUUGUUACCAGCUGAUGUCAUUCAUACGACCCCCUUCCCCCGUUUACAGAUGGGGAAACUGAGGCCUGGAGGUAACUAAUAAGAAUAACGCCAAAGAUCGCUCGGCUAACAGAGACCAGCUGCUUUGCCUCUCUGCACCACCUCGUUCCGGCUCCUGUUUUUGGUGUACGUGGCCAAGGUCCCCCUGUGCUCCUACCCCGGUUUGGGGACCGCCGAGGCUCCCGCCAGCUUGGGCCCUGGACCACCCGGAGCAGAGCCCCCGCCACCGUCCCGGACUGGCCCUGACAGACCCACGAGGCUCCCAGCUCACCUUUAUGAUUUUGAGCUUGUGCUUCGGGCUGGUCCUGAAGAAGACAGACACCUGGGCUGGGGGCCUUGAGACAGAGCGGGGAGCACAGCAAGGUGUGACCCUGAUUCCGGCAGCAAGUGUAGUGACAGGGAGGGUGCGGCCGGCCUUCUGCAGGCGAAGAGCCCGGAGGUCAGUGGCUCAGUGACUUGCCAAGGUCUCAGGGCUGGUGGCAGAAGCCACCCCAGAAGCAAACACGGGAAUGACGCUGCCUGGGCGAGGAUGUAACUUGAGGACGAUAGUCCCCGGGCCGCAGGACGUUGACAGUGGACACAAAGGCUCCCCUUCGGAGGACCGGCCCACGUUUUAGGGCCAGUCCUCUGAAGGUGGAGCGCUGGUCCUCGAAGCUCACGGUCACUGUGCGCCGACCGGACACGCCCCUGCCCUGCCCACUGACCUAUGG